rnacentral:rRNA from 1 species
UACGUAGGGGUGCAAGCGUUGUUCCGGAAUUAUUGGGCGUAAAGAGCUCGUAGGCGGUUCGUCGCGAUCGGCUGUGAAAUCCCGAGGCUCAACCUCGGGUCUGCAGUCGAUACGGGCGGACUGGAGUUCGGCAGGGGAGACUGGAAUUCCUGGAUGUAGCGGUGAAAUGCGCAGAUAUCAGGAGGAACACCGGUGGCGAAGGCGGGUCUCUGGGCCGAUACUGACGCUGAGGAGCGAAAGCGUGGGGAGCGAACAGG